ACAGCUCUUAACACAUUUCGACAUGUUCAAUAAAAUUUUCUGGUCAUUUCGGUUUUUGCUGGGAGUUUUUUUCAGUUUAUACCUCGUUUUCGCAAGAUAACAAUUUGACUAGAAUUAUCCACGCAUGAAGAAUAAGCUCAAGUAGCUCAAAGUUGGAUUAUUCCGUACGCCCUUUUCGCUAACAACGACUGAAACCCACAGAUCGUAGUUUGAUAGUAGAUGGGCGGAAAUUU
rnacentral:snoRNA from 1 species